rnacentral:rRNA from 1 species
GACGAACGCUGGCGGCGUGCUUAACACAUGCAAGUCGAACGGAAAGGCCCUGCUUUUGUGGGGUGCUCGAGUGGCGAACGGGUGAGUAACACGUGAGUAACCUGCCCUUGACUUUGGGAUAACUUCAGGAAACUGGGGCUAAUACCGGAUAGGAGCUCCUGCUGCAUGGUGGGGGUUGGAAAGUUUCGGCGGUUGGGGAUGGACUCGCGGCUUAUCAGCUUGUUGGUGGGGUAGUGGCUUACCAAGGCUUUGACGGGUAGCCGGCCUGAGAGGGUGACCGGCCACAUUGGGACUGAGAUACGGCCCAGAAGCCUACGGGAGGCAGCAGUGGGGAAUAUUGCAGAAUGGGCGGAAGCCUGAGGAAGCAACGCCGCGUGCGGGAUGACGGCCUUCGGGUUGUAAACCGCUUUCGCCUGUGACGAAGCGUGAGUGACGGUAAUGGGUAAAGAAGCACCGGCUAACUACGUG